rnacentral:misc_RNA from 1 species
AACAAAUAAAUCUAUACAAGACAUUUUAAUCUGCUUUCAAAAGUUUGACUAUAGUACUGGUUUUUACUUACAGGAAACAUUUUAAUCUCCCCCGACAACCUAAAGCGGAAAAGAAAAAAGAUAAAGGGUUGCAAUAGGUAUCUUAACACCAAGAAGUAAAGAAAUAAAUGUUUCAAGUCAAGCUAAAUUUAUCCAUUUUUCUACUCAAAAUACCAAGAGUUUGUUUUAAUCAGCAUCUUUACUCCAACUAAUUUGCAUGACCAUAAAUAAAUGAACCAUGAAUGAAUCUAAAUAUGCCUUGGGCAGGUAUGCCACAGGUAGUUAUGCAUCAUAUUUAAAUAUGAAUGCGAAAAGGAUAAAUUGAUUUAAAAGCCACUGAGUCACUGACACAUACUUCAAGAGAAUGACACUCAUGCCUCAUUGUAGCAUAAGUUAAGAAUUUAUAACAGGAAGUAAAAAGUCAAUGACCAGAAGCCAACUGCAUGAACUAAGAAAGUAAAAUUGAUGAUAAAAUUUCAUGAGAAAGGAUAUUCCUUCUUCCGGCCCAAAUCACUG